GACGAACGCUGGCGGCGUGCUUAACACAUGCAAGUCGAACGAUGAAGCCGGAGCUUGCUCUGGUGAAUUAGUGGCGAACGGGUGAGUAACACGUGAGUAACCUGCCCCGAACUCUGGGAUAACUGCUGGAAACGGUAGCUAAUACCGGAUAUGACCAAUGAAGGCAUCUUCUGUUGGUGGAAAGAAUUUCGGUUCGGGAUGGACUCGCGGCCUAUCAGCUUGUUGGUGAGGUAACGGCUCACCAAGGCGACGACGGGUAGCCGGCCUGAGAGGGUGAUCGGCCACACUGGGACUGAGACACGGCCCAGACUCCUACGGGAGGCAGCAGCGGGGAAUAUUGCACAAUGGGCGCAAGCCUGAUGCAGCAACGCCGCGUGAGGGACGACGGCCUUCGGGUUGUAAACCUCUUUUAGUAGGGAAGAAGCGAAAGUGACGGUACCUGCAGAAAAAGCACCGGCUAACUACGUGCCAGCAGCCGCGGUAA
rnacentral:rRNA from 1 species